rnacentral:rRNA from 1 species
GAUGAACGCUAGCGGCAGGCCUAACACAUGCAAGUCGAGGGGCAGCAUAAUGAAUAGCAAUAUUUAUUGAUGGCGACCGGCGGACGGGUGCGUAACGCGUAUGCAACCUGCCCGGGACAGGAGGAUAAUCCGUAGAAAUUUGGUCUAACACUCCGUAAUACUGACGAAGGCAUCUUUGUCGGUUGAAAACUGAGGUGGUUCCGGAUGGGCAUGCGUGAUAUUAGCUGGAUGGAGAGGUAACGGCUCACCAUGGCUACGAUAUCUAGGGGAACUGAGAGGUUAAUCCCCCACACUGGUACUGAGACACGGACCAG